rnacentral:rRNA from 1 species
AAACCAGCACCUCAAGUGGUCAGGAGGAUUAUUGGGCCUAAAGCAUCCGUAGCCUGUUCUAUAAGUUUCCGGUUAAAUCCACUAGCUCAACUAGUGGGCUGCCGAAAAUACUGUAGAACUAGGGAGUGGGAGAGGUAGACGGUAUUCGGUAGGAAGGGGUAAAAUCCUUUGAUCUAUUGAGGACCACCUGUGGCGAAGGCGGUCUACCAGAACACGUUCGACGGUGAGGGAUGAAAGCUGGGGGAGCAAACCGGAUUAGAUACCCCAGUAGUCC